GACGAACGCUGGCGGCGUGCCUAAUACAUGCAAGUUGAGCGCUGAAGGUUGGUACUUGUACCAACUGGAUGAGCAGCGAACGGGUGAGUAACGCGUGGGGAAUCUGCCUUUGAGCGGGGGACAACAUUUGGAAACGAAUGCUAAUACCGCAUAAAAACUUUAAACACAAGUUUUAAGUUUGAAAGAUGCAAUUGCAUCACUCAAAGAUGAUCCCGCGUUGUAUUAGCUAGUUGGUGAGGUAAAGGCUCGCCAAGGCGAUGAUACAUAGCCGACCUGAGAGGGUGAUCGGCCACAUUGGGACUGAGACACGGCCCAAACUCCUACGGGAGGCAGCAGUAGGGAAUCUUCGGCAAUGGACGAAAGUCUGACCGAGCAACGCCGCGUGAGGGAAGAAGGUUUUCGGAUCGUAAAACUCUGUUGGUAGAGAAGAACGUUGGUGAGAGUGGAAAGCUCAUCAAGUGACGGUAACUACCCAGAAAGGGACGGCUAACUACGCG
rnacentral:rRNA from 1 species